AAACAAGCGCCUCGUUGCUGGUU
rnacentral:siRNA from 1 species